rnacentral:rRNA from 1 species
AACGAACGCUGGCGGCACGCCUAACACAUGCAAGUCGAACGAACAAUAGAUUUCGGUCUAUUCGUUAGUGGCAAACGGGUGAGUAACACGUGGGAAUCUGCCCAUCAGUGGGGAAUAACUUUGGGAAACUAAAGCUAAUACCGCAUACGUCCUUAGGGAGAAAGACUUCGGUCGCUGAAGGAGGAGCCCCGCGUUUAGAUUAGGUUGUUGGUGGGGUAAUGGCCUACCAAGCCUAUGAUCUAUAGCUGGUCUUAGAGGAUGAUCAGCCACACUGGGACUGAGACACGGCCCAGACUCCUACGGGAGGCAGCAGUGAGGAAUAUUGCGCAAUGGAGGCAACUCUGACGCAGCCAUGCCGCGUGCAGGAAGAAGGCGCUACGCGUUGUAAACUGCUUUUAACCGGGAGAAACCCUCCGACGUGUCGGAGGUUGACGGUACCGGAGGAAUAAGCACCGGCUAACUUCGUG